AGGAAGUAAAAGUCGUAACAAGGUUUCCGUAGGUGAACCUGCGGAAGGAUCAUUACAGAGUUCAUGCCCUAACGGGUAGACCUCCCACCCUUGUGUAAUUAUACUUUGUUGCUUUGGCGAGUUGCUGAGGAUGUCACGUCCAAGGCCUCAGGCUCUCGUAGCCUGUAGAGUCACCCGCCGAAGGAAACCUAAACUCUGAAUGUUAGUGUCGUCUGAGUAUUAUAUAAUAGUUAAAACUUUCAACAACGGAUCUCUUGGUUCUGGCAUCGAUGAAGAACGCAGCGAAAUGCGAUAAGUAAUGUGAAUUGCAGAAUUCAGUGAAUCAUCGAAUCUUUGAACGCACAUUGCGCCCCUUGGUAUUCCGGGGGGCAUGCCUGUUCGAGCGUCAUUUCAACCCUCAAGCCUCGCUUGGUAUUGGACCUUGUCGGUCAAACGACAGGUCUUAAAGUCAGUGGCGGCGCCGUUGGGUCCUGAACGUAGUAAUCCAUUUCGUUACAGGUGCCCCGCGAGCUUCUGCCAUUAAACCCCCAUUUUCUUAUGGUUGACCUCGGAUCAGGUAGGGAUACCCGCUGAACUUAAGCAU
rnacentral:rRNA from 1 species